AAGUUGAACUUCCUGGAAUAAUACAGUCACCAUAGGAGUUAAAACACGCUCGGAAUGGGAGGAGCUAGACAGUAAUAUUCAGUUGGUUGUCAUCUACAAUUUCACAGCUAGAUGGGAGAAAUUCUUAAAGAAUGUAGCUUUAAAGCUGCUAAUAGUAUCCUC